rnacentral:lncRNA from 1 species
UAAACCCAAAUCAAAAUGAAACCAGUCCAUGUUAAACCUGAAUCCAAACCCAAUAGCCAACCUACACAAAUAAACCAAACCCAAUCCAAUUAUUUAUCCAAAUUGAUCCAAGCCGAACCCAACCCAAUUAAUUCCAAUCCAAAUGAGCCCAUAUCAAACCUUUUCUCUAGCAUAUAUAACUAGAGCUAAAUCUUAACAUAUUCAAACUCGAUCAAAUUCUAAAAUAUUUAAUUAGAUUUGAUCAAACCAUAUACAAGGUUUCACCCGAUCAAAUCAAUUGAGCUCUAAUAUAUAUACUUAGAGUUCAUUAAAUUAAACUCUAAUACAUACACUUAGAGUUUAAACUUUAACUAAUCCUAACUUAUAAAAUUAGGAUUUAGUUGAUUCAUCUCUUGAUUAGACUCCAACACAUAUACUUAGAGUUUAAUUUCGGCUAAUCCUAACACAUAUAAUUAGGAUUUGGUCCGUAUCUCGCUACAUGGUGGACAUAAAUUCAUCUUACGGCGAACCCAAAUGAAAUUAAAUUGGACUCUAAUAUAUACAUUUAGAGUUUAAUUUAAAAUAUUUUGACUAAUCCUAACAUAUGUAAUUAGGAUUUAGUUCAUGUGAAACCAAAUUAGACUCUAAUACAUACACUUAGAGUUUAAUUUAAAUCAAAUUUUGACUAGUCCUAAUACAUAUAAUUAGGAUUUAGUUAAUAUUUGGCUUUAUGGUGAACUUAAUUGUGCUCGAACAUAUAAGCAUAGAGCUUAAUUAUACUAGACUUUAAAAUAUAAAAUUAGAGUCUAAUCCAAAAUAUUUCAAAUCUCGUUGGACUUUAUCACAUAUAUUUAAAGUUCAAUUAACUAAAUCAAACUCUAAUUCAUUUAAUUAGAGUUUAAUUUGAAUCAAAUCUGAUUAAAUUCCAAUGUAUAUACUGGGAAUUUAACCAACCUUUCAUCUUAGGAUGAAUAAUAUCUUGGUUCAGAAUCAAAUUCAAUCAACCGUCAUACUGAAUUAUGUUAUAAAAUUCAUCUUUUAUUCAAUCACAGCAUUACAAAGGUCUCUUAAUCGAAGGUGCCCUAACACUUUGUAGGGGUAAUUAACAAUAGACGCUUGCGUUUAUUGGAAGCCAUGAAUCCACAAAACCUGAUAACCAUACAUAUUUAAAUAUUAAUCUGAAUCAUGAAUACUACCCCAUGGCCUGAAAUCCAUUAGCCGUGUGAGGUGCGUCAUUUGUGGUCGCAGACAGUUACAUUAUCGGCCGCCAAUGUAACCCUCCGCGAAGUUAGAAGCAUACACUUCGAUUUAACUCCACUUUCUAGAGUUAUCAAAGAUACCCAAUCAAGAUACUUUCGCUUAUAAGUCAAAUAGACCUCAUCUCUCACGAGCCUAUUUUCUAUAGUCCAACCGGCCUAAGGUCUACUAGGUCCACUAAGACUUAACCCUAGGCUCUGAUACCAAAAUAAUCCGUCAUGCCCCAGGGCCCAGCGAAAGUCCGCCCGGCACGUGUUCAGACCCGCUAUAUGUCUAAAAUAUAUAAGGCGUCUACGAUAAAGCAAUAAAUAAAACAAUAAUACAAAGAGAUCUAGCGAUAUCAGAGCAAAGUACUAUUAGAUUCUACAACAGGAGAGUACAACAAAAGCUAAAAUUCACUAAAUUAAACCAUAAAGUAGAACAACAAAAAUCCGAGUACAAGUGCUAUAAGUGGUCCAAUGGUGGUCUCU